rnacentral:sRNA from 1 species
CUCCAACAAAUUCCAAACACACUUCACUUUCGAGGAAUUCAGGCGCAGCUCAAACCCCCUCAGCCUGUUGGCUUCUGUUCACCAGCUGCAAGGGUUUACAUACACGGCCACCGCCAUCCAAAAUGUCGUGCACCAAUUGUUCCAUGCCUCAUAUGGGGCCCGUAGGGAUGCCGCCAAAAUUCUCAUUGUCAUCACUGAUGGGAAGAAAGAAGGCGACAGCCUGGAUUAUAAGGAUGUCAUCCCCAUGGCUGAUGCAGCAGGCAUCAUCCGCUAUGCAAUUGGGGUAGGGCGUGGGAUGGCUUCCCACUUCUCCCACGGCUUCCUCUCAGGGCAACUUCCCUUUCUGUGUAUGUUCUUUUCUCUUUGAGACAGGGUCUUGCUCUAUCACCCAGGAAGUGGUGCAAUCCUAGCUCACUGCAGCCUUGAACUCCUGGGCUCCAGUGAUCCUCCCACCCCAGCCUCCCCAGUAGCUGGGACCACAGGUGUGUGCCAUCAAGCCUGGCUAUUUUCUUUUUGGUUGAGAUGGGGUCUUGCUAUGUUGCCCAGGCUGGUCUCAAAUUCCUGGCCUUAAGCAAUUCUACCACCUUGGUCUCCCAAAGCACAGGGAUUACAGGCGUGAACCACCGCCAACAACAUCCCUUUCAAGGAUAGAAACACCAGCUCUCUCGGCUCUUCCUGCCUUAAGGAUGAAAACUCUUCCCCAGACUGGAGACCAUGAUCCUUUCUCCUAAACUCCCUGAUGCUGUCCGGGCUUCGUGUUUCUCCUGUGUCCACCGGGUGUGAUCAUGUUGAUCUUGUGGGGUUAUUGGAAGAUGUUGCACCCAGUGCACACAGGCACAUUUGAUUUAUUAUUUUUACUGAGUUGAUCUUUUCUGGGGACAGGUUGGAUUAGCUUUUCAAAACAGAAAUUCUUGGAAAGAAUUAAAUGACAUUGCAUCGAAGCCCUCCCAGGAACACAUAUUUAAAGUGGAGGACUUUGAUGCUCUGAAAGAUAUUCAAAACCAACUGAAGGAGAAGAUCUUUGCCAUUGAGGGUACGGAGACCACAAGCAGUAGCUCCUUCGAAUUGGAGAUGGCACAGGAGGGCUUCAGCGCUGUGUUCACACCUGAUGGCCCCGUUCUGGGGGCUGUGGGGAGCUUCACCUGGUCUGGAGGUGCCUUCCUGUACCCCCCAAAUAUGAGCCCUACCUUCAUCAACAUGUCUCAGGAGAAUGUGGACAUGAGGGACUCUUACCUGGGUUACUCCACCGAGCUGGCCCUCUGGAAAGGGGUGCAGAGCCUGGUCCUGGGGGCCCCCCGCUACCAGCACACCGGGAAGGCUGUCAUCUUCACCCAGGUGUCCAGGCAAUGGAGGAUGAAGGCCGAAGUCACGGGGACUCAGAUUGGCUCCUACUUCGGGGCCUCCCUCUGCUCCGUGGACGUGGACAGCGAUGGCAGCACCGACCUGGUCCUCAUUGGGGCCCCCCAUUACUACGAGCAGACCCGAGGGGGCCAGGUGUCUGUGUGUCCCUUGCCCAGGGGGUGGAGAAGGUGGUGGUGUGAUGCUGUUCUCUACGGGGAGCAGGGCCACCCCUGGGGUCGCUUUGGGGCGGCUCUGACAGUGCUGGGGGAUGUGAAUGGGGACAAGCUGACGGAUGUGGUCAUCGGGGCCCCAGGAGAGGAGGAGAACCGGGGUGCUGUCUACCUGUUUCACGGAGUCUUGGGACCCAGCAUCAGGCCCUCCCACAGCCAGAGUCUCGCUCUGUCACCCAGACUGGAGCACAGUGGUGCAAUCUCCGCUCACUGCAACCUCUGCCUCCCGGGUUCAAGUGAUUCUCCUGCCUCAGCCUCCUGAGCAGCUUGGAUUGCAGCGGAUCGCGGGCUCCCAGCUCUCCUCCAGGCUGCAGUAUUUUGGGCAGGCGCUGAGCGGGGGUCAAGACCUCACCCAGGAUGGACUGGUGGACCUGGCUGUGGGGGCCCGAGGCCAGGUGCUCCUGCUCAGGACCAGACCUGUGCUCUGGGUGGGGGUGAGCAUGCAGUUCAUACCUGCCGAGAUCCCCAGGUCUGCGUUUGAGUGUCGGGAGCAGGUGGUCUCUGAGCAGACCCUGGUACAGUCCAACAUCUGCCUUUACAUUGACAAACGUUCUAAGAACCUGCUUGGGAGCCGUGACCUCCAAAGCUCCGUGACCUUGGACCUGGCCCUCGACCCUGGCCGCCUGAGUCCCCGUGCCACCUUCCAGGAAACAAAGAACCGGAGUCUGAGCCGAGUCCGAGUCCUCGGGCUGAAGGCACACUGUGAAAACUUCAACCUGCUGCUCCCGCUACCCUUUGAGAAGAACUGUGGAGCCGACCAUAUCUGCCAGGACAAUCUCGGCAUCUCCUUCAGCUUCCCAGGAAACAAGGGGAGCUGCGUUCCCUGCACCUGACAUGUGACAGUGCCCCAGUUGGGAGCCAGGGCACCUGGAGCACCAGCUGCAGAAUCAACCACCUCAUCUUCCGUGGCGGCGCCCAGAUCACCUUCUUGGCUACCUUUGACGUCUCCCCCAAGGCUGUCCUGGGAGACCGGCUGCUUCUGACAGCCAAUGUGAGCAGUGAGAACAACACUCCCAGGACCAGCAAGACCACCUUCCAGCUGGAGCUCCCGGUGAAGUAUGCCGUCUACACUGUGGUUAGCAGCCACGAACAAUUCACCAAAUACCUCAACUUCUCAGAGUCUGAGGAGAAGGAAAGCCAUGUGGCCAUGCACAGAUACCAGGUCAAUAACCUGGGACAGAGGGACCUGCCUGUCAGCAUCAACUUCUGGGUGCCUGUGGAGCUGAACCAGGAGGCUGUGUGGAUGGAUGUGGAGGUCUCCCACCCUCAGAACCCAUCCCUUCGGUGCUCCUCAGAGAAAAUCGCACCCCCAGCAUCUGACUUCCUGGCGCACAUUCAGAAGAAUCCUGUGCUGGACUGCUCCAUUGCUGGCUGCCUGCGGUUCCGCUGUGACGUCCCCUCCUUCAGCGUCCAGGAGGAGCUGGAUUUCACCCUGAAGGGCAACCUCAGCUUUGGCUGGGUCCGCCAGACAUUGCAGAAGAAGGUGUCGGUCGUGAGUGUGGCUGAAAUUACGUUCGACACAUCCGUGUACUCCCAGCUUCCAGGACAGGAGGCAUUUAUGAGAGCUCAGACGACAACGGUGCUGGAGAAGUACAAGGUCCACAACCCCACCCCCCUCAUCGUAGGCAGCUCCAUUGGGGGUCUGUUGCUGCUGGCACUCAUCACAGCGGUACUGUACAAAGUUGGCUUCUUCAAGCGUCAGUACAAGGAAAUGAUGGAGGAGGCAAAUGGACAAAUUGCCCCAGAAAACGGGACACAGACCCCCAGCCCGCCCAGUGAGAAAUGAUCCCCUCUUUGCCUUGGACUUCUUCUCCCCGGCGAGUUUUCCCCACUUACUUACCCUCACCUGUCAGGCCUGACGGGGAGGAACCACUGCACCACUGAGAGAGGCUGGGAUGAGCCUGCUUCCUGUCUUUGGGAGAAAACGUCUUGCUUGGGAAGGGGCCUUUGUCUUGUCAAGGUUCCAACUGGAAACCCUUAGGACAGGGUCCCUGCUGUGUUCCCCACAGGACUUGACUUGCAAUUUCUACCUAGAAAUACAUGGACAAUACCCCCAGGCCUCAGUCUCCCUUCUCCCGUGAGGCACGAAUGAUCUUUCUUUUCUUUCUUUUUUUUUUUUUUUUUGAGACGGAGUCUCGCUCUGUCACCCAGGCUGGAGUGCAAUGGUGUGAUCUCGGCUCACUGCAACCUCCGCCUCCUGGGUUCAAGUAAUUCUGCUGUCUCAGCCUCCUGAGUAGCUGGGACUACAGGCACACGCCACCUCGCCCGGCCCGAUCUUUCUAAAAUACAGUUCUGAAUAUGCUGCUCAUCCCCACCUGUCUUCAACAGCUCCCCAUUACCCUCAGGACAAUGUCUGAACUCUCCAGCUUUGCGUGAGAAGUCCCCUUCCAUCCCAGAGGGUGGGCUUCAGGGCACACAGCAUGAGAGGCUCUGUGCCCCCAUCACCCUCGUUUCCAGUGAAUUAGUGUCAUGUCAGCAUCAGCUCAGGGCUUCAUCGUGGGGCUCUCAGUUCCGAUUUCCCAGGCUGAAUUGGGAGUGAGAUGCCUGCAUGCUGGGUUCUGCACAGUUGGCCUCCCGCGUUGGGCAACAUUGCUGGCUGGAAGGGAGGAGCGCCCUCUAGGGAGGGACACGGCCCCGGUGCGGCUCCAGCUCACCCAGCCCCAGGGGCAGAAGAGACCCAACCACUUCUAUUUUUUGAGGCUAUGAAUAUAGUACCUGAAAAAAUGCCAAUACAUGAUUAUUUUUUUAAAAAGCGUACUUUAAAUGUUUGUGUUAAUAAAUUAAAACAUGCAC